AAGUUUUUAGUCGCACCCUCACCGAAGAAUGCUGUUUUUUAAAUGUAGUUUUAUUAACAAUUUCACAACCGAUCUAAAUAAAUUUGAUCGAAAAUUAAGUCACGAUUGUACUCCAGUUUUUUUAGUAUGCCAGGUAAACUAGCAAGACUCAGGAUAAUAGAUAUUGAAAUUAUGUGGAAAAGGAACACAGCGUUGAUUCCGUAAUGCAUGUAAAUUGAACGUAAGCGUCCUAUGAGGUCACCUAGGAAAACGACAAAUACCUGAAUAACAGAUCUAAAAUUGGCCGGCAGUGUCAUUUCUCCAGUUGAAUUCUUGCCUUGGUUCAACCACUGUAAACCAACAAAGGGUAAAAACUCUUAAGAAAUUGAGAUAUUUGAAUUUUUGGUGACAGAAUUUCCGUAGAUAAACGACAUAUGAGAAAUGUCAUUAAAGUGUAUCGUACAGUAAUUUUAUAAAAAUAGCAUUUGAAUAGAAUAUGAAAACAUGGAAAACUUCGCAUACAUCGAAAUACCUGUUCGAAAAAUUAUUACUCACAUACACACUUGACUUUCUGAACGCUAAAAGCAUAGUUUACCGGUAAUUUGCUGUGAAUUGAAUAUAUUAUUGACUUACAUUAUCAACAGUCUGAGAUUGUUGCUGCAUUAAUUGUCCAUACUUAAAAAUUCUAUUAAACGGCCCGAUAUCCACAAACUGAGACUGUUGGGAUAUACUUUUAUUCGCUGAAAAGUCAGUGUCAUUGACCAAAUGUGAUAUCGAAUGUCUAACAUUCAAUUGGAUGAGAAUAAAAUAAAGUAACAGUUUUGGAAAGAUAAGGAUUUCUUUGAAAAUCAUCACAAAUGAUUGAUAGCAACAGAAUAAAUAUAUGUAAUAUUGUUCUACUAUUUAUUUCCAGUCAAAGUGCUGAAUUGAUUGAGCUAAGGUAAUCUGCAGACGUAUGUAUGCGUGUAAAAUAUGUACACGCAUUUAGAUAGUCCACAAAAAUUUAGUGUAAAGUGUCAUAAAGUAAAAUAAAUAUGACCACUGUAUCCAGUACUCGCAUACACGAUAUAUCUACUUAGUUCUCAUUGUUCGACAGUUAUAAAACUAAAUAUAUGUAAGUGUGUAAUACGUAAGUUUCCUACCUUGAAUAUUUAAGUAGCACUAAUAUUAAUAUUGUCAAUCUACCGUUACUAUCACGUCGUCAUUUUUUAUGCCUUUCUCGGCUGCAUAUUCAGCUUCAUUAUAUAUCUACGUAUUUAUAAUCUAUGUCUGUUGGUAGCAUGGAUUGGUAUUUCAUAAAGUAUUUUUUUCUACUACAUGUUAUUCAUUUCGCGUUUUGAAUCAUAAAUCCAUGUUCGCUGCUGUAUUCAAGUUUCCGAAUUCAUUGUGUCCACUAAUCUGGAAAGCUGAAGUACACUAUCUCAAUUAUCAUCACUAUGAUUCCUACUCCUGCGAACCCAGCACUCAACACAAAAAAUGAUUUAAUAUCUUGCAGAGAUACUGCUACCUCCUCGCUAAGAAUUCCUCUCUCCUUCAUACUUACCAUUUUCUUCCCAUAAAAUCUAGAAUACAGAUCUUUGCCCUUGUUUCGGAUGAUUCGGUGUCAAUUUUCAUCCAACAAUUCUCACCCCACAAUUUUCACUCCACAAUUCUCACUCCGCACCAAUUCUCACUCCACAAUUUUCAUUCCCCAAUUCUCACUGUUUACCAAUUCUCACCCGACAAUUUUCACUCCCCAAUGCUCAACCUCUGCUGAAACAUGUCACAAAACGACAAUAUAUUCUAUAUUUCGAUUUAUGUAUUAGGAUGACAAAAAGUGAAAUUAGAAAACAUUGGAGGCCAGCCAUGCUGGUUCGGAUUAUCAAUAAAACUUGUAAAUGAAAACUAAAUCCUCUGUAAAGUUCCUAGUAAAUAAUGCGACGGUUAACAUUGAGAUAGAUAUCCUUAAAACUAGUGUGACUAUUUUUUUUAAUAGAAUUGUCCUAACUAAAACCGGGACAAUUUAUGCAAAAAAAUGUCUAUAAUAUCUAGUGCUCGGCGAAAAAUGUGUCCAUAAUAUUUAGUGCCCAACAUAAACUGCACGUUAGUGGUAUUUAUGUAUUAAAAUCUACUUUUUCAUACAAUAUUUUGGCGAAAAAGUGAGACAAUUUAAGUUUUGCCUAGGGUUUUAAAAUUUGAUAGAGAGUGGAUAGAGUAUAAAUGCAACCACCUUGAGGUUGGAUUAUUAUUUUGUGGUAUGACACUGUAUGUACAAAGAUAAUUUUAAUAGCUGAUAUAGGUUGAGAAUUGGGAGGUGAAAAUUGUAGAGUGAAAAUUGUGGGGUGAGAAUGGUAAACAGUGAGAAUUGGGGAAUGAGAAUUGUGGAGUGAGAAUUGGUGCGGAGUGAGAAUUGUCGAGUGAAAAUUGUGGGGUGAGAAUUGUUGGGUGAAAAAGUGCACACUACCGUUUCGGAUCGUAUCCUUCACUAUCCGCAAUUCUAAACCGAGUUCGUACAAAUUCAACCACCUCAAAUAAAUCCCAGAUUCCUCUAAAGCACUCAAAGUCUUGGAAAAUCUUUGAGAGAUGAAAUUCUUCUGUGAAAUAACAGGGAUAAUUAAAAGGAAUGGUAUUGUGGCAUGAUUCCUCACCACCACUCUUUUCCCCAGCAAUUCUAUCGCCUGAAUAAAAUGCUCCAGAUCAACGGUAUAAUCUAGAAUUGCGAUGUUCUCAGAAGUAUCCAGUCUCGCUUUAUGAUCGGUUAACGUGACUUGCAACGAGUCGGAAAUGUUGCUGGUGAUACUGCCGAAAUUUUUGUAAGAACUCCCCGACGUCGCAAAGACUAAUUGUUCUCUCAGUUUUUUCAUACUUUGAAAAACUUGUGCAUUGUCAUCCUCCAGUGAAUCCAUAUACUCGGGAAUUAUUGACUCGAUAAUUUCUGAGGCAACGUGAGACAUCCCGUCUUUGCUCAUGGAAAUUGUCGAAGUUGUCAAAAUACUCAGGCCUGAAUUAAGCAAUUCGUUCAUCGUGAGAGGAACUGAUGGUGGAAAUUUCGCCGUCAAGCUUGGAGAAACUUCACCUUGGUAAAAAGUAUUCAGCAAAAGACAGGCAAAGUGCCAACAUGUAAUCCAAACUAGUGUAGAUUUUGAAGAGGUGAUUGAAAUAUCGUCACUCCCUUGAUUCAUGAUUGUUGAGAAAAUCCAAAAUACUGAAUUUUCAAAACUUUCGCCGAGCUUCAGUCUCAACAAUGCUAGUAUACCGGCGAUGCUGAUAAGGAGACUGGUCCAAGUGGGUAGAUCCAAUGGUGCAGUUAAUUCCUCUGGUCCACGCAACGUUCUCCAAUAUUUGGUCACAGUGGCAAAUUUGAAGUCAUAAAACUCAUUUCCAAAAAUGUGCCAAACAUGUUUUGUGUUGGUUGGUCUGGUGGGAAAGAAGUGGUCGACUGUUGACGAUGAGGUGCCAAUCAUUCCAAAUGAUAAUGUGUUGAGUAGCCUCCCAGCAAACUUUUUCUGCUGAGAAUAGUACAAAGUUGUCGAUAUGUGGGUGAAAUUAUGCCGAAUCCCCAAAAGCGCGAGGGCGCAAUGUCUGUGGUGGUAAUGAAACCAAGCCAAGUGAGGACCACAUUCGUCAGCAAGAUUUCCAGGAAUGGGAUAAGCGUUGUAAUGAGCGACGAGGUUAGAUUGUAAAUUUGCAUUGAGAUGACUCCAGACGAUGCUGAUAUCAUGAAGUGAAAGGUUAUCUGGUACUGAAUGAAGGUGAGAAUCGGGGUCGCAUGGGAUACACGGGAUUUGCAUGGUUUCAGCACCAAAAAUUACAAAUAUCGAUGUUACAGAGUAAUCUGCCCUAAUUGUUAUAAAACGGCUGGAAUGUAUGCGGUUGUCGAGAUAAAUGAAAAUAAAAGAAGGAUUUUCAUUGCAAGCAAGCAUUGCGUAAUGAAUUUGGUCUAAAUGAGACUGCAAAUUAUUCGAAUCGGUGAGAAUAAAUGAUAUUAUACGGGUAAAAAACUUCUUUGUGGGCUUUGUUAAUAUACUUUUUACGGUGGUGGAGUUAUUAAGAAGCGCACCAAAGUGGUAUCGACUUGCAGAGAAAUUCCGCGACGAUAUUGAAUCCAGUACAAAAGGGGAGUUAAUAUUAUUUUUGCAUCAACUUUGAAAAAUAAUAGUAGCCCAAUUUGACGUCUCGUUGGAGUCGACUGUAAUGUAAUGUAAGGAAUAGCCGUCGAGAAAGUUUGGGAUUUUCCAAAAUGGAAAAUUCGGUAGAGCGUGAGCGUGAAAAAUUAUUAAAAUUAGUGAAAAAUGCAUCAAGUUCAACAUUUUCCCAACGAAAGUAGUUUCCUUUCACGGUGUCAAUAAUAUACUAAAUGUUUAAAGAAAUAGGUCAUCAAAUACAAAACGAAAACAUGUUUUCAAAUGAGGUGUCAUGCACUUCUCAAGAAUUUCAUAAAUUAUCGACUUGCUUGUAUUCUCUUUCACUAACUGCCGUCAUUUGAGUCGCAUUAACGACACGGUAAAAUUAAUGAGUAGGCAUUAGGCUUCAAAAAGUUAGAAAUACUAGGUCAAUUAAAUAAAUAUGUUCCGCGCUAGGUGUCAACUUCUUGUCUUAUUAAGGUAUCUUUCUAAAUAUGUAAAUACUUAUCACGAUUGUCAAGGCUGAAUUUUCUGAUAUCAAAUAAUUCCAGAAAAUCUCAUAUGGAGUUUUUUAU